rnacentral:lncRNA from 1 species
GUAAAUAUUAUAUUUAAUAUUUACGAGUUAAUUGUGAUUUUAAAAAUGUUUUUGAUAUUGUGAUUUUUGUUUUAUAGGCGAUUUAUUAAGUUCAAGUGGUAUGACCCUAAGGUCAAGUGGGUUUAGAAAAUGAGGUAUCGGGACCUUGUUUCUAUAAACCAAGUCAUAAAUAUUUUUAUAAAUAUUUACGUAGUGGCAAUAAGAUGGUAUUAAAGUUUCGUUGAAAAAUUUUAUCGUUUCGAUAGUUAAUUAAACAAAAAGGACUAAAUUGUGUAAAGUGCAAAAGUUGUGUUCUAUAAUCUAAAGGUAUUAAAUAGAUAUAGAACUUAAAAGUAGAAGUCCUUAUUUGGUAAUUAGCCCAUUAAAGAGAUAGUGGGAUAUGAUGGCUUGGCAUUUGGUGUAAUAAAUAAAGUGUAUAAAGGUUAAUAUUGUAAAUUGGUUAAAAUAAUAAUAAAAUGAAUAUAAUAAAAGAAUCAAUGUGUCAUCUUUUUUAUUCUCUUUUUACCAGCC